CACGAAUUCGUGUGAGCUAACCUAUUUAUCCUAAUAUGUAGCAUAAUAUUAUCAAAAUUUAGGUUAGGGGUGAAAGGCCUCCCAAAAACGACGAUAUCUUGAAGUAAGCGAAAAAAAUCUAGUUUUAAGGUGAUUACAAAGUUAUAAGAUUUUGUAAGAGGUUAAAUGUUUAUACAUAAAAUAUGUUGGUAUAAAAACCCGCAUCACUAUAGCAAAUCAUUACAUCAGUGAGGUUUAUUACAUUAGUUUACGGUAACAGAACUUCUGCAUAAUCAUAAUGUUAAUAUUAGUACCCUAGAGAUAUUAAUAGUGAACUCGGCAAUAAAGCUUUCAACUGUUUAUCAAAAACAUAGCCACUUGUCUCACAUGUGGUGUGUUCUGCUCAAUGAUAUUUAAAUAGCCGCAGUACCCUGACUGUGCAAAGGUAGCGUAAUCAUUUGUCUUUUAAUUGGAGUCGUGUAUGAAUGAAUGCAUGGAGGCUUACUUUACCAUUAAUAAAAUUUGAAAUUACUCUAAGAGGUGAAAAGGCCUCUAAUUGUAAAAUAGACGAGAAGACCCUAGAAAUUUGCAAAACCGUUUUGUUGGGGCAACAUGGUAGGCAAACCUACUCAAUGGACAUGGAAUAAAUUUGUCUGAUUAAAUUACUCUAGGGAUAACAGCAUAAUUCUUGUGAGUUUGUGACCUCGAUGUUGGAUUAGGGAACUAUAACUUAAAA
rnacentral:rRNA from 1 species